UACGUAGGCAGCGAGCGUUUGUUCGGAGUUACUGGGCGUAAAGGGUGUGUAGGCGGUUCUUUUAAGUUUGGUGUGAAAUCUCCCGGCUCAACCGGGAGGGUGCGCCGAAUACUGAGGGACUCGAGUGCGGGAGAGGAAAGUGGAAUUCCUGGUGUAGCGGUGAAAAUGCGCAGAUAUCAGGAGGAACACCGGUGGCGAAGGCGGGUCUCUGGGCCGUAACUGACGCUGAGGAGCGAAAAGCGUGGGGGAGCGAACAGG
rnacentral:rRNA from 1 species